rnacentral:rRNA from 1 species
GACGAACGCUGGCGGCGUGCUUAACACAUGCAAGUCGAGCGGUAAGGCCCCUUCGGGGGUACACGAGCGGCGAACGGGUGAGUAACACGUGAGCAAUCUGCCCAUCACAUCGGGAUAACUCCGGGAAACCGAAGCUAAUACCGAAUACGACCACCUCCGGCAUCGGAUGGUGGUGGAAAGUUCCGGCGGUGAUGGAUGAGCUCGCGGCCUAUCAGCUUGUUGGUGGGGUAACGGCCCACCAAGGCUUCGACGGGUAGCCGGCCUGAGAGGGUGACCGGCCACACUGGGACUGAGACACGGCCCAGACUCCUACGGGAGGAAGCAGUGGGGAAUAUUGGACAAUGGGCGAAAGCCUGAUCCAGCAACGCCGCGUGAGGGAUGACGGCCUUCGGGUUGUAAACCUCUUUCAGCAGGGACGAAGCGCAAGUGACGGUACCUGCAGAAGAAGCACCGGCCAACUACGUG